AAGUCGUAACAAGGUUUCCGUAGGUGAACCUGCGGAAGGAUCAUUAAAAAAUCUUCUAAUGAGCCGCAAGGCUCUAAUAUUUUGUGAAAUGUGUAUUAUUACGAGCAGAGGUGUGUGUGUGUGGUUGGAGGAGGGAAAGUUGAUGAUAGAUCUGAUCUUGUAGUAUUUACUUAUUACGAGUUGGAUUUUGAAAAAACACCGCCACCGCCGCUACUACGCUUUGGUUUGUAAUGAUAAAAUAUUAAUAUAUAUGUUUUUGAUGUUGAGGAAAAUAUUAUGUCUAUAAUAUAUAUACAACUUUCAACAGUGGAUCUCUCGGCUCUU
rnacentral:misc_RNA from 1 species